rnacentral:lncRNA from 1 species
CCACCCUGUCCCGCAGCUUUUUUUGUAUUUUUUCACAUUCUCUCAUUUACACUCUGCUUCCUGCAGUGUGCGGCAGCUGCCUCUGCCUCUGCCAUGACUCUGCAGUGUUUGGCUCUAGGGAAGGGGGCGAGCUAAAGGAGCGUGUUGGCGUGAGAAGUGUUGUAGAUGUGAUGACAGAUGAAGAAAACAUUUAAAAUUUGACAAAACACCGCUAAGGUGCAGAUGUAGU